UUUCCAGGCUGUCAUAGGAAGAGUCAUUCUGAUGGAGAGAAGCAACAUCUGCAAGGACAAACCAAGUGUUAACACAUCAGUGACUGAACCACCCUAUUGAUAAGCAGUUUCCUUUUUUUAUGGUUUUUUUUUGACAACUGAAGAAAACAGAGCAUACUUUGUAUUUCCAUGGUCUUCCAGAAAAUAUAUUUUUAAGAGCAACACGGUGAAGUUUUAGUCUCAGUUUAAACAGUCACCUCAUUUCCACUGAGCAGGGCACACCUGGGUCCUAUCCUGGAUCUGCGAUAAUUGGAAUUACAUUAAAUCUCUUUUGCUCCGGGCCAGUCUAAGCUGACUUAUCUCACAUUUGCAGCAGACACAGUUCACACACGGGCAGUUACCACACCUCAGUGCGUGCCUGAAAACUUGUUCAGCUGCCAUAACCUACUGUGGGUCUGAGCAAUCAGUCCCAGCACAUCCCAGCGCAGCAGAUCCCAUGCGCUUCACUCCUGGGGGAGGAGGCAAGCCAAAUUUCACUGGAUUUCAUCAAGUCUCACAUGGAGCAUGAGGAGUGUAGAACAGCCCCACUGAGUCAGUCUGGCAUGCCAAUGCAAGUGCAAUUACCACUUCCAGUAUAGGCCAGCUGUGAUAAAAUCUAUUUUACAAAAAAUGCUGCUUUAGAAAUACUUUUGGGAGAGACACAAAACUCCAGUCAAAAUCAAUGCUAUCACAGAGUUGGAGAGAAAAAGAGCACUAAGAAUAAUAUGGAAUGUUCUGUCAACUAGUCUGUCAGACAAUUUCAGUCACCAGUUCCACGAUUUUUCUGUGCUAGUAGCAAAAUCUGGAUGUCCCAUUGGAAUUAUGAAGAUCUCUCUUUUUUCAUAGUGAAGAAUAGACUUUCAAUCCUAAUAUAAUGGUGUGACAUGACAGCUGCAUUAUAACCAUUGUUGAUCACUGACUUCACGAUAUUCUGGAGGCUGAGGCAAAAAUUCUAGACUUAAGAUGAAGCUUUCUGCAGAUUUUUUUCCUUUUUUUUAGUUCAUUUCCCCUUCCUCCUUUUUUUUACCAUAGUGGCUCAGAUGACUGGUACAGGAGCAAGAGAUUCUAUGUGAGAGCAUUCUGUGAUAUGGCUCAGGUCUUUGGUAAGUUGAAUCAGUUUUUAUGACCAAUACUGUGGGCAGAGGAAAGAGAACGGCACUAUCUGGAAACACUGCAUGAAAAGGGAACAGCACUCUUCCAUGCAGUAGACUGAUCUUUUAUCUGGGUAAAUUUAGCUGUCUUGAGGGGAUCGAAACAUCAAUCUGUAUUACCUGAGCUGUUCUCUCUAUUACAUGUCAUCAGUAUUUCUCCGAAGAGGGAGGUGAUUUCAUCUCCAAAAAUCCUACAGCAAUUCUCAAUGAGGAACUGUACCAGACUGGAAAUCUGCAACAAAGCAAUGGGAGAGAGAUGUCUUGUCAGAUCUUCUAUUAUUGCACUCAGGGCAAGCUCACCACACAGAUGAAGAACAGGAGCAAACUGUAUUCCACGAUGGCAGCCAGGAACUACUCCCUCAGUCCCCUGGGCCCAGAUAAAAUGUCCUGGCAGAUUAUGAGAAUGGAUAGAUGAAUGUUUCUGGAGCCCUGAUAAGAGGACAAGUCCUGAUCUGAAGAGGUAUUCUAUGUUUUCAUGUUUGUAACCAACAGCCUGGUUGAACAGGAAGAAGCACAGAGACCCACUUAUCACACAGCUGGGAUGACAAAAUGCUGCCUGGGAUGUUGCGAAGAAAAUCCUUGUCAAGAGAAAAGAAUAACAAAACACAUGAACAGCUGUUCUGGAGCAUGUGAGGCAGUAGGAGUAAGACAUGCACAUAGAAGAGGAUGUAUCUGUGGGAUGGCGCUCGCUGACAAGCAUAUUGUUACACACAGCAACCAAAACCAGAAGAAAACUAUCUGAGAUAUGGAAGUACUUUAGAUUAUGCCUAAAAUGAUUAUUUUUCUGCCCUGUCCUUACCCUUUCCUAUCAAAAUAGAGGUAUUUGCAAGCCUCAUCUGAUAUUGCUGAACUAAAAAAUCUGCAGUGAGACCAGUUACUUUGUUGUUGUCUUCACUUAUCCCUUAACUUCAUCUGUAGUCCCUAUUUCUUCUCCUAAGAUCAAAUGCAUCCAGACCAUAAGCACUCCAAGACAUCCCCACCUUCUCUCCCCUAUUCAAUCUCUUUUGAUAAUAGAGUACUUAUACUAGUCAUGAAUAGUCAUGCUACUCCUCUUUCCUUAAUACCUCAACCACUGGGAGGGAAACUGUUGCAGCUUAGGAAGAACUCCCAAUCCUAGCUUCCCAAACAAGCUAGGGAAGCUAUGAUGCUUUUUUGCACAAGGAACACUGGUUUUUAUAUACAAGAUUGUAAGAAAAGAUAGUGCAUAAAAAAAUAAUCCAAAUAUUCAUGGCAACACUAUAAACUCACCAGGGUCUGUAGUGUAGGGUAUUACUGACAUGCAAGGAAACAGGUCUGCAAACGUGCCUUUUUAGUAUUUCAUAUGCAGAGAUAGAGUAUCAGAACCAAGUUGUAACAGAGAACUCAGAAAAACCGGCAUGAAAACAAGCUGGCUAGUCCUCUUCCUCAUCCUAAGUAAAUGGUAAACCCAUUGUGAGAUUCUCACAAUGUUAUUGUGCCAGCUCAUUCUUCUCAAUUCAGUUCACCAGUUCCUCUUUAGGCCUGUCCCUGGAAAAAAGCUCUACUUGCUUGUGCAUGGGAUCUGUGCUGCUCUCACCCAAAAAGGGAGAAAGGAACAUUCUUCACAUACCUUAAACA